rnacentral:lncRNA from 1 species
UUCCAUUUGAUGAAACUAAAUCCCAAUCUUGUUGAAGCAGCAAAAAAAUCUGUGAAGCUAGCAAACAGAAACGCGAGUCCGAGUAUGAGCUUAUUGAUAGCGCUGUAUCUUGUACUUGCUUUUUUUUCUGUGCUUCAUCAACAUUGUUACCUCUGUCCUAAUGUACUGAUUGGGUUGGUUCGUUGUUCAUUAGAGAAUCCCAGAUACAAUCGGAAUGUAAAAUUUUGUUUUUUCGUAUAAGUGGAUUGUCAUCUUUUCCAAACAAUUAUUACCCUCUAUUCUAUGCAUUCUAACAAGGUUAUAUAUCAAAGACAUUUGAAAGAAUCCCAUAUACAUAUUAUUUUGAUUCUUUUUAUUUGAGUUGCGCAUUAUAGACUUGCGUAGAUUAGGUGCAAUUGAUGGUACACAUUUAACUUACGUGCAUGGGUUCAUGCUGAGAACUUGUUUUAUUCUAUUUAGCCUACAGAUAACCACUGUGUUUUUUCAACCAUUUUUUUAACAACUUUUGUGACAAUUUUCUCUUUCAUACUCUCAUUAUAUUUUUACUUUAUCUCUCUUUUGUUCUGUUCUGGUUUUGUGUCAAUUCCUCAUUUUCUUUGUAAAUCAAUGAUUGUCCCAUAAAUUAUCAUUGAAAUGGUUGUUCAAAUAACACAACUCUUUUUUUAAUUCUUUUAACUUUUUAGCGGAACAAACAAAUUAGCACAUUAUCCCCAUGAUGUUUUAUCUUGCGAGACACGAACCAGGUUUUGGUGUGGAAAUGCCACCGUCAUCAAUUCAGGCGUUGUUGUCUUGGACUGCACUAUCAUCACAUGUUAAACAAGUACUACAUUGGAUAACCAAAGACACGAAAACCACACUUUCCAUUUUUUAAUCAAUUCUUGAAUAAACUUGCUGCUUUCCAAAUUUCGUAUAUCAAUAUCUAUCCUAGCUCUUUCGAACAGGUAACAUACCUCACAUUCAUUUUGAUUUCUGUUGUUGCUGGAAUUUCUUUGAUUCCUUUGUAACCCCUUUUAUGCUGUAAUUUUUGGUGUGUGAUGAUUCUGGGAAUUGGUGUAUUUGAAUUUUGUGAUUGUAAUUGCCCCUUUUGAAUUUAAGUUAUAAGUAAUUAUGGUAGUUUAACAUGAUAUGAACUUUAAAUCUUCUAAUUAUAGCUCCUCUUGGGAACUUAGGCGUAAUAACUAGCAGGUUAUAUAAGAAAUAGAUUUAAAUAUGUAUUAAGAUAGUUCAAUUUGAUGAAACUAAAUCCCAAUUUCAUUGAAGCAGCAAAGAAAAUUUGUGAAGCUAGCAAGACGAUAGGCGAGUCCGAGUAUGAUCUAGUUUUAUUUGAAACUUUUGAGCUUGUUGAUAGCUAUCUUGUACUUGCUUUUUUUCCGUGCUUCAUCAACAUUGCCACCUCUGUCCUAAUGUACUGAUUAGGUUGCUUCGUUGUUCAUUAGAGAAUCCCAGAUACAAUCGGAAUAUAAAAGUUUGUUUAUCGUAUAAGUGGAUUUUCAUCGUUUCCAAAGCCAUUUGAUUCUUGUUUACUUAUUCAUAUUAUCUUAUUUUGAUUCUCUUCACUUGAGUUACGCAUUAUAGAUUUGCAUAGAUUAGGUGCGAUUGACAGUACACAUUUAACUUAAGUGCAUGGGUUUGUGCUGAGAACUUGUUUUAUUCUAUUUAGCCUACAGCUAAC